GAUGAACGCUGGCGGCGUGCCUAAUACAUGCAAGUCGAGCGAACAGACGAGGAGCUUGCUCCUUUGACGUUAGCGGCGGACGGGUGAGUAACACGUGGAUAACCUACCUAUAAGACUGGGAUAACUUCGGGAAACCGGAGCUAAUACCGGAUAACAUGUUGAACCGCAUGGUUCAACAGUGAAAGACGGUCUUGCUGUCACUUAUAGAUGGAUCCGCGCCGCAUUAGCUAGUUGGUAAGGUAACGGCGUACCAAGGCAACGAUGCGUAGCCGACCUGAGAGGGUGAUCGGCCACACUGGAACUGAGACACGGUCCAGACUCCUACGGGAGGCAGCAGUAGGGAAUCUUCCGCAAUGGGCGAAAGCCUGACGGAGCAACGCCGCGUGAGUGAAGAAGGUCUUCGGAUCGUAAAACUCUGUUAUUAGGGAAGAACAAAUGUGUAAGUAACUAUGCACGUCUUGACGGUACCUAAUCAGAAAGCCACGGCUAACUACGUG
rnacentral:rRNA from 1 species